AUUGAACGCUGGCGGCAGGCUUAACACAUGCAAGUCGAGCGGGGUGAUGGUGCUUGCACUAUCACUUAGCGGCGGACGGGUGAGUAAUGCUUAGGAAUCUGCCUAUUAGUGGGGGACAACAUCUCGAAAGGGAUGCUAAUACCGCAUACGUCCUACGGGAGAAAGCAGGGGAUCACUUGUGACCUUGCGCUAAUAGAUGAGCCUAAGUCGGAUUAGCUAGUUGGUGGGGUAAAGGCCUACCAAGGCGACGAUCUGUAGCGGGUCUGAGAGGAUGAUCCGCCACACUGGGACUGAGGCACGGCCCAGACUCCUACGGGAGGCAGCAGGGGGGAAUAUAGGACUAUGGGGGGAACCCUGAUCCAGCCAUGCCGCGUGUGUGAAGAAGGCCUUAUGGUUGUAAAGCACUUUAAGCGAGGAGGAGGCUCUUUUGGUUAAUACCCAAGAUGAGUGGACGUUACUCGCAGAAUUAGCACCGGCUAACUCUGUGCCAGCCGCCGCCGUAA
rnacentral:rRNA from 1 species